AACGGGGGGGGCAGGUGUUGCUCCACAUGACUGGGUGUAAAGGGUUCGUAGGCGGUCCUUUCAGUGGAAUAUGAAAUCCUAGGGCUCAACUUUAGGGCUGUAUUCCAUACAAUUGGACUUGAGUUUAGUAGAGGGGGGCAGUACGUUCGGUGUAGAGGUAGAAUUCGGUGAUACUGGACGGACUCACAGAGGCGAGGGCGGCCACCUGGGCUAAAACUGACGCUGAGGAACAAAAGCGUGGGGAUCAAACAGG
rnacentral:rRNA from 1 species